AUUGAACGCUGGCGGCAGGCCUAACACAUGCAAGUCGAACGAGUGGCGCACGGGUGAGUAAUGUCUGGGAAACUGCCCGAUGGAGGGGGAUAACUACUGGAAACAGUAGCUAAUACCGCAUACCAUCGGAUGUGCCCAGAUGGGAUUAGCUAGUGGGUGGGGUAAAGGCUCACCUAGGCGACGAUCCCUAGCUGGUCUGAGAGGAUGACCAGCCACACUGGAACUGAGACACGGUCCAGACUCCUACGGGAGGCAGCAGUGGGGAAUAUUGCGCAAUGGGCGCAAGCCUGAUGCAGCCAUGCCGCGUGUAUGAAGAAGGCCUUCGGGUUGUAAAGUACUUUCAGCGAGGAGGCGUUACUCGCAGAAGAAGCACCGGCUAACUCCGUGCCAGCAGCCGCGGUAAUAC
rnacentral:rRNA from 1 species